rnacentral:rRNA from 1 species
GCUACGGGAGGCAGCAGUGGGGAAUAUUGCACAAUGGGGGAAACCCUGAUGCAGCGACGCCGCGUGAGUGAAGAAGUAAUUCGUUAUGUAAAGCUCUAUCAGCAGGGAAGAAAAUGACGGUACCUGAGAAAGAAGCCCCGGCUAACUACGUGCCAGCAGCCGCGGGAAUACGUAGGGGGCAAGCGUUAUCCGGAUUUACUGGGUGUAAAGGGAGCGUAGACGGCAGUGCAAGUCUGGAGUGAAAGGCGGGGGCGCAACGCCCGGACUGCUCUGGAAACUGUACGGCUGGAGUGCAGGAGAGGUAAGUGGAAUUCCUAGUGUAGCGGUGAAAUGCGUAGAUAUUAGUAGGAACACCAGUGGCGAAGGCGGCUUACUGGACUGUAACUGACGUUGAGGCUCGAAAGCGUGGGGAGCAAACAGGAUUAGAUACCCGGGUAGUC